rnacentral:lncRNA from 10 species
CUCAGAGGUAACACAAGGCUUGAUGUUCUGCACCCCAGGAAACCCCUCGGUCCCAGACAAAUGGAGAAGAUUGGGCAUCCUCCUGUAGGAGUUUACAAGCUGAUCAUGUUGGGAAAACCAUGUCUUUUAAAAUUUGCUUCUAAGUUUUUGCUGUCACUAUUAGUGCUACAAAGAACACACGUACCUGUUUUACUGUGGUAUUGAAAGGAAUCCAUGAUUCACUUUGAACAAAUCAGAGACCGACACAAACUAGCAAGUCUUCUAAGCCACAAUGAGACAGAAGUCCACAUUUUCAGUCCUCCAUUUGAGAAACUGUCUUCCUAAAUUCAUUGUUCUUCCUGAAGCACGCUCCCGACUGAAUCACCUGCACCCCAAUUACUGCCUCGGGCUCUGCUUCUAAGGAACUUCAACAGCAAUAAAGUCAAAGACCCUUAGAAAUUUUUCUAGAUGUGGUGUGACUGGCUAUAAUUCCAAGCUUUUUUGGUACUAGCAUUUUGUGUCUUUUGAAUGUAUCACUACAUGGAAAUGGCCUUUAGUGAUAAAGCAAGAAGGGCUGGACUAUUGAUAUUAAAAUGAACUUCCCUGAGUGCCAUCAAAUUAUCUUACCUUUUCUCUCCUUCUUACACGCUGUUCCCCACGGUUAGAACAAUUUUCAGCUUAUUUUUUGUCUAGAAAAUUUUAACUUAUCCUCAGUUUAGAUUCCUUUAAGGAGCCCUCCCAGAUCUCUCCCCACCCUGCCUUCCAAAAUUUAUGUUAGGUGUCUCUCAUGUAGUCCUGUAAUACAGUACAUUCUCUAGACAUGAUAGAU